UGUCGGUCAGUCAAAGGUUUUGUUUGGGGCGAUUUGCUGCUUCCGACGAUGAUGUAAGGUUCUACACUAGGUUCGUGACUUACAGCCAUUUAAUGGCUUUCUGGAAACUCAUUGAGCCUGCAUCCCACAACAUGAUUCGUGUGUCAAGAGCAAGAGCAAUAAGGAGUGAAGCUGGAACAACAGGCAGUGCAUGGGGUCAGUCUCUGCAGCCCAUUGAUGAGUUCUUCCUCUUCAUGGUCCACCUCUCUGUUGGCUUAAAACAGCAGGAUCUGGCCCACAGAUUCAACAUCCAUCAGUCCACUGUUAGCCGAAUUAUUACAACCUGGGCCAAUUUUUUGUACACCAUUCUUGGGUCUGUCCGCAUC